UACGUAGGGUGCAAGCGUUGUCCGGAAUUAUUGGGCGUAAAGAGCUCGUAGGCGGUCUGUCACGUCUGCCGUGAAAACCCGAGGCUUAACCUCGUGGCUUGCGGUGGAUACGGGCAGACUAGAGGUAGGUAGGGGAGAACGGAAUUCCCGGUGUAGCGGUGAAAUGCGCAGAUAUCGGGAGGAACACCGGUGGCGAAGGCGGUUCUCUGGGCCGUUACCUGACGCUGAGGAGCGAAAGCAUGGGGAGCGAAACAGG
rnacentral:rRNA from 1 species